GAAGCUUGCUUCCUAGAGACCGGCGCACGGGUGCGUAACGCGUAUGCAAUCUACCUUUUGCAGAGGGAUAGCCCAGAGAAAUUUGGAUUAAUACCUCAUAGUAUAGCAGUUUCGCAUGAAACCACUAUUAAAGUCACAACGGCAAAAGAUGAGCAUGCGUCCCAUUAGCUUGUUGGUAAGGUAACGGCUUACCAAGGCAACGAUGGGUAGGGGUCCUGAGAGGGAGAUCCCCCACACUGGUACUGAGACACGGACCAGACUCCUACGGGAGGCAGCAGUGAGGAAUAUUGGACAAUGGGCGCAAGCCUGAUCCAGCCAUGCCGCGUGCAGGAUGACGGUCCUAUGGAUUGUAAACUGCUUUUGUACAGGAAGAAACACUGGUUCGUGAACCAGCUUGACGGUACUGUAAGAAUAAGGAUCGGCUAACUCCGUGCCAGCAGCCGCGGUAAUACGGAGGAUCCAAGCGUUAUCCGGAAUCAUUGGGUUUAAAGGGUCCGUAGGCGGUUUAGUAAGUCAGUGGUGAAAGCCCAUCGCUCAACGGUGGAACGGCCAUUGAUACUGCUAGACUUGAAUUAUUAGGAAGUAACUAGAAUAUGUAGUGUAGCGGUGAAAUGCUUAGAGAUUACAUGGAAUACCAAUUGCGAAGGCAGGUUACUACUAAUGGAUUGACGCUGAUGGACGAAAGCGUGGGUAGCGAACAGGAUUAGAUACCCUGGUAGUCCACGCCGUAAACGAUGGAUACUAGCUGUUGGGCGCAAGUUCAGUGGCUAAGCGAAAGU
rnacentral:rRNA from 1 species